GCAUUUCUGACGCAUGCCCAGAUGCUGCCGAUGCUACUAGUCCAGGCGCCACGUUCUGAGAACCACUGACCAACUUUCAGGGUCUUGUAGCAGUCCUAAGACAUCCCCAAGAGAACUCUUCCCUUCAAAACCAGCAUCUCCCUUUAGGAAGCUGUGGACACAGCGCUGCUCUUUUUUCCCAUAAGCAAAUCUUUCACACAGUUGGCAGGGAGAGCAUCCCUGAAUCCGCGCAAGUCAGAGGUGGGAAGCAGAGGGAAGAAGGAGUAGCCAUCCUCCCGCCACAGUGCUGCACCCUGUUCUCCCAGAGCCUUCCCUCCCCAGCGCUGUGGAGAUGGAUUUGCUCAGCCCACUGCGGUUCGGUGGAAACUAGGGAAGGAUGGUAAACGGCCUCUGACAGGUUAAAUGCAAGGUCGGUCCCCAGUGUGGGUAGCUGAUCACCACUUAUUCUUCCUCUACAAGCUUCGGUUCGCUCACAAGAUUGGAAGAAUAAUAUCUACUGAAAGUGUGGUUGUGAAAGUUAAGUUAUGCAAUAUAUCAACGGCACUCUCUCAGGGAGUCUGAGCACCCAAUGUGAGCGACCUGCAGUUGCCCCGGCAGGAGCACCCACCAUUCCUCCCCGCUGGGCCCUAGGCUCCAAAGGAACAAUAGGAAUGGGCAACUAUUUGAGGAGGCAUUGAGUGAGUGAAAACCACUUCCCUCUGGGGUCAGAAAACCAGAGUCUAGUUUCACAAGCACUGAGGAGCUAGUUAGUGCACCUAACUAGCAAGUGAAUGUGCGUCUUGGUGCUUCUGUGCUCUCGUUCAACAUGGGCGUGAGGACCACACCAGACAAAGAACUGGACCUCCUUUGGACCGAAGAAAGUUCCAGAAACCUGAUUUUUCUCAAUGAACAUGAAUUACUUGUGAAAAAAAUACAAGCUGUAGGGAAAAUGAAGGCAACAAACUGCUUUAAAUGUCUGAUAAUAAACUUUAAACUUCGAUGGCUUACAUCACUCCUUAUACCUAAAUGAAUUACAGAUGGAUCAAAUAUUUAGAAGUAAAAAAGUGAAACAAUAAAAGAAUUGGAAGAAAAUAUGAGAUUUCUUCU
rnacentral:lncRNA from 1 species